AUUGAACGCUGGCGGCAGGCCUAACACAUGCAAGUCGAACGAGUGGCGGACGGGUGAGUAAUGUCUGGGAAACUGCCUGAUGGAGGGGGAUAACUACUGGAAACGGUAGCUAAUACCGCAUACCAUCAGAUGUGCCCAGAUGGGAUUAGCUUGUUGGUGGGGUAACGGCUCACCAAGGUGACGAUCCCUAGCUGGUCUGAUAGGAUGACCAGCCACACUGGAACUGAGACACGGUCCAAACUCUUACGGGCGGCAUCAGGGGGGAAUAUUGCACAAGGGGCGCAAGCCUGAUGCAGCCAUGCCGCGUGUAUGCAGAAGGCCUUCGUGUUGUAAAGUACUUUCAGCGGGGUGGCAUUACCCGCAUAAGAAGCACCGGCUAACUCCGGGCCAGCAGCCGCGGUAAUUC
rnacentral:rRNA from 1 species